rnacentral:rRNA from 1 species
GAUGAACGCUGGCGGCGUGCCUAAUACAUGCAAGUCGAGCGAACGGACGAGAAGCUUGCUUCUCUGAUGUUAGCGGCGGACGGGUGAGUAACACGUGGAUAACCUACCUAUAAGACUGGGAUAACUUCGGGAAACCGGAGCUAAUACCGGAUAAUAUUUUGAACCGCAUGGUUCAAAAGUAAAAGACGGUCUUGCUGUCACUUAUAGAUGGAUCCGCGCUGCAUUAGCUAGUUGGUAAGGUAACGGCUUACCAAGGCAACGAUGCAUAGCCGACCUGAGAGGGUGAUCGGCCACACUGGAACUGAGACACGGUCCAGACUCCUACAGGAGGCAGCAGUAGGGAAUCUUCCGCAAUGGGCGAAAGCCUGACGGAGCAACGCCGCGUGAGUGAUGAAGGUCUUCGGAUCGUAAAACUCUGUUAUUAGGGAAGAACAUAUGUGUAAGUAACUGUGCACAUCUUGACGGUACCUAAUCAGAAAGCCACGGCUAACUACGUG